GCGGUAAUACCAGCUCUCCGAGUAGUAGGGAUGAUUAUUGGGCUUAAAGCGUCCGUAGCCGGCUUAGCAAGUCUCCUGUCAAAUUCAGCGACCUAAUCGUUGAGCCGCGGGAGAUACUACUAGGCUAGGAGACGGGAGAGGCCGACGGUAUUCUCGGGGUGGGGGUGAAAUCCUAUAAUCCCGG
rnacentral:rRNA from 1 species